AUGAACCUCACUGCUAUAGGCUACAAUUGGGAAGAUCUUGAAGUUGAAGAACAUUGUCAAAGUUCUCAAAAACAUGCAAGGCAUGAAAGAAGUCUU